GACGAACGCUGGCGGCGUGCUUAACACAUGCAAGUCGAACGGAAAGGCCCUGCUUUUGUGGGGUGCUCGAGUGGCGAACGGGUGAGUAACACGUGAGUAACCUGCCCUUGACUUUGGGAUAACUUCAGGAAACUGGGGCUAAUACCGGAUAGGAGCUCCUGCCGCAGGGUGGGGGUUGGAAAGUUUCGGCGGUUGGGGAUGGACUCGCGGCUUAUCAGCUUGUGGGGGGGGUAGUGGCUUACCAAGGCUUUGACGGGUAGCCGGCCUGGGAGGGGGACCGGCGUCAUUGGGCCUGCGGUAGGGACCAGACUGCUACGGGGGGCAGCAGUGGGGAAUAUUGCCCAAUGGGCGGGCGCCUGAUGCGGCGACGCCGCGUGCGGGAUGACGGCUUUCGGGUUGUGAACCGCUUUCGCCUGUGACGAAGCGUGAGUGACGGUAAUGGGUAAAGAAGCACCGGCUAACUACGUG
rnacentral:rRNA from 1 species